AUUGAACGCUGGCGGCAUGCUUUACACAUGCAAGUCGAACGGGCUGGGGGCAACUCCAGUCAGUGGCGAACGGGUGAGUAAUGCAUCGGAACGUGUCCCGUAGUGGGGAUAACCCGGCGAAAGCCGGACUAAUACCGCAUAUGCUCUACGGAGGAAAGUGGGGGACCGCAAGGCCUCACGCUAUGGGAGCGGCCGAUGUCCGAUUAGCUUGUUGGUGGGGUAAUGGCCACCAAGGCGACGAUCGGUAGCUGGUCUGAGAGGAUGAUCAGCCACACUGGGACUGAGACACGGCCCAGACUCCUACGGGAGGCAGCAGUGGGGAAUUUUGGACGAUGGGGGCAACCCUGAUCCAGCCAUGCCGCGUGCGGGAAGAAGGCCUGGUGUAACG
rnacentral:rRNA from 1 species